rfam:Triticum aestivum genome assembly, contig: Triticum_aestivum_CS42_TGACv1_scaffold_327972_4BS
UUUAUACUCCCUCCGUCCCAAAAUUCUUGUCUUAGAUUAGCUUAGAUAUGGAUGUAUCUAAUACCAAAACGUGACUUGAUACAUCCUUAUUUAGACAAAUCUAAGACAACAAUUUUGGGACGGAGAGAGUAUUUC